rnacentral:rRNA from 1 species
GAUGAACGCUGGCGGCGUGCCUAAUACAUGCAAGUCGAGCGAACAGACGAGGAGCUUGCUCCUCUGACGUUAGCGGCGGACGGGUGAGUAACACGUGGAUAACCUACCUAUAAGACUGGGAUAACUUCGGGAAACCGGAGCUAAUACCGUAUAACAUGUUGAACCGCAUGGUUCAACAGUGAAAGACGGUCUUGCUGUCACUUAUAGAUGGAUCCGCGCCGCAUUAGCUAGUUGGUAAGGUAACGGCUUACCAAGGCAACGAUGCGUAGCCGACCUGAGAGGGUGAUCGGCCACACUGGAACUGAGACACGGUCCAGACUCCUACGGGAGGCAGCAGUAGGGAAUCUUCCGCAAUGGGCGAAAGCCUGACGGAGCAACGCCGCGUGAGUGAAGAAGGUCUUCGGAUCGUAAAACCCUGUUAUUAGGGAAGAACAAAUGUGUAAGUAACUAUGCACGUCUUGACGGUACCUAAUCAGAAAGCCACGGCUAACUACGUG